AUGGAGAUCGAAUCCAACCCAAAGUAUUGCAGAGUUAUUAAAAGAGCAUCAUCCGAGGAGGACCGGCUGAGUGGCCUCCCCGACGACGUCCUCCACUCGAUCGUCGGCCGGGUCCCCCUCAAACAAGCCGUCUGCACCAGCGCCCUCUCCACGCGGUGGGCAUGCCUGUGGCUCCACGCGCUCGCCGCCUCCGCCGUCCUCGACUUCACCGACAGCGACUUCGUCCGCGGCCAGUCCCCGGAGCAGAUCGUGGCCACGGUGAACCGCUGCCUCGAGGUACACGGCGCGGCGCCCAUCGAUGUGUUCCACAUGGCGUUGUCCCCGUUCGACGCGUUUGGGCGGGACGUCGUCCGGUGGGCCGCGACCGCCUUGGGGAGAGGCGCCAGGGAGGUGGGGGUGGACCUGACGCAGCACGCCAACGGCCGCGGGGCUCUAGAGUUUCCCGGGGACCUCUUCCAGACCGAGAGCUCCCUGGCGGUGCUCAGCUUCGGCCGGUGCAGCCUCCGCGACGUCCAGCCCGGCGCGGCGGGGCUCGCCGGCCUGACAUCGCUCUCCCUCAACCAAGUCGACGUCACCGACGAUGCUCUCCGGGACGUGGUGUCCGGGUGCCGGCUGCUCGAGUUUCUGAGCCUGAAGAGCUGCCACCUCCUCGUGUACGUGAGGGUCGCCGGCGAGAGGCUGCGGGGCCUGCAGAUCGUGCGCUGCCUGGCAAUGCGCCACCUGCAGGUGGCCGCGCCCGUGCUGGAGUCUGUUGCCUACCACGGCGACGUCCUCAUCUGGAGAGAGGACGAGCCGUCCGGCGUGGAGUUCGUUGGCCCAGGCGGCAGGACCGAUGCCAGGCCGGAGCUAAAGGACGCGUACCUGACCCACAUCGGCUAUGCCGAAUACGACGAAGUAAUUCACGAGUUCGCCUACUCAGGCUUCCUGGAUCAGGUCUCGCAUGCCAAGAUUUUGACACUUUGUUCCGUGGGCAUGCUGCACAUGGAAGAAGAGCGACUGUUCUUUGAGGCCAGUGUGGAUAUAUACCCCGAACCUUGA
rnacentral:rRNA from 1 species